AACGCUAGCUACAGGCUUAACACAUGCAAGUCGAGGGGCAGCAUGGUCUUAGCUUGCUAAGGCCGAUGGCGACCGGCGCACGGGUGAGUAACACGUAUCCAACCUGCCGUCUACUCUUGGACAGCCUUCUGAAAGGAAGAUUAAUACAAGAUGGCAUCAUGAGUUCACAUGUUCACAUGAUUAAAGGUAUUCCGGUAGACGAUGGGGAUGCGUUCCAUUAGAUAGUAGGCGGGGUAACGGCCCACCUAGUCUUCGAUGGAUAGGGGUUCUGAGAGGAAGGUCCCCCACAUUGGAACUGAGACACGGUCCAAACUCCUACGGGAGGCAGCAGUGAGGAAUAUUGGUCAAUGGGCGCAGGCCUGAACCAGCCAAGUAGCGUGAAGGAUGACUGCCCUAUGGGUUGUAAACUUCUUUUAUAAAGGAAUAAAGUCGGGUAUGUAUACCCGUUUGCAUGUACUUUAUGAAUAAGGAUCGGCUAACUCCGUGCCAGCAGCCGCGGUAAUACGGAGGGUCCGAGCGUUAUCCGGAUUUAUUGGGUUUAAAGGGAGCGUAGAUGGAUGUUUAAGUCAGUUGUGAAAGUUUGCGGCUCAACCGUAAAAUUGCAGUUGAUACUGGAUAUCUUGAGUGCAGUUGAGGCAGGCGGAAUUCGUGGUGUAGCGGUGAAAUGCUUAGAUAUCACGAAGAACUCCGAUUG
rnacentral:rRNA from 1 species